AAACACUACCUGCAGUACAAACAAGAUGGAACAGAACGGGAAAACCCGCAUCAUCAGGUUAAGCAGGAGGAUUGGGAGAAACUUUGCACUUGUUUUGAGUCUGAUGAGUUUCAGACAGGUAGCACUCAAGGUAAAAAAAGUCGAGAAGCGAAUACAACCAUUCAUUGUACAGGGUCAAAACCUUUUGCCCGCUAUAGAGAGGAAAUGUGUGAUCCAGAAACA